rnacentral:lncRNA from 1 species
UAGGGUACUGGGAUAUGAAGCUCAGAGAGUUCAUAGAUCUGAAACCCAGGAGGGACCCGGUUAUGAUGCUCGUAAAGGGUCGAUUUAUGAUGGACAAGGUGCCCCCCCUGCUUAUGAUAUCCAAAGAGGCUCAGGAGAUGAAGCUCAAAGAGGAGCUAAUUAUGAAGCACAAAAGGGCGCCAGCUAUGAUGCAGCAUCGAGAGACUGCAGGCCAUCAAGGACAGGUUUCCAUGAAUAAUCAACCUUACCCGCCAACACCGAGUUCUAGAACUGG